rnacentral:rRNA from 1 species
CCUACGGGAGGCAGCAGUAAGGAAUAUUGGUCAAUGGACGCAAGUCUGAACCAGCCAUGCCGCGUGGAGGAUGAAGGCCCUCUGGGUUGUAAACUUCUUUUACAGGGGACGAAACACUUCCAUUCUUAAGAGCUUGACGGUACCCUGGGAAUAAGCACCGGCUAACUCCGUGCCAGCAGCCGCGGUAAU